CAGGGUCACACAGUAGCUGAUAAAGGAGCUGGGACCCAGGCAGACUCUCCAGCCUGUGCUGCUGAUCCCCCUACACUGCCCGGGCUCUGCUCGGCAGCCCCCACACCUGAUGGAAGCCGCUCAGUCAGGUCUCCACGGUCGCUGCCAUGUAUGGACGUUUCUUUGGAACUGGUUAGGACUUUACCACAAGUGUAAGGAAAUAAAGAGAAGCAGAAACAGAGAGAGAGCGAGCAAGGAAGAAAGAAAAGAAGGAAGAAAGGAAGAAAGAAAGAAGGAAAGAAAAAAAGAAAGAAAAAGAUAAAAAGACAAAGAAAGAAUCAUAGUGGUAACUCCCGGGAAAACCGCUGUUACCAUUUUGGUGGCGCUCCUUCCAGACUUUUCUCUGUGCAUGACUAUCAAAAUACCUAGAUGUACCUGUGUGUUAAAGACUAUAGCAUAAUAUUUUCUAUGUUGUUUUAUAAAGUUUUCUCUCUUUUCCACUUACCAAUAUUUUGAUAACAUUUCAUCUUGUCAACGAAUGUUCAUCUCCAGCGCCUUUUUUCCCUUGCGGCUGUGGACACCUCGUGGACGGGUCUACUGUGUUUGGGUGGGGACAUGGAGGCCCAAGGCCCCACAGCAGGUGAUGGAAGUGCCAAGCCCAGUGACCAGCCUGGGGUCCAUUCUGUGCCAGCUCACCUGCAGGGAGCAUUGCUGCUGAGGUCACAGUUCCUGGAGCCAGACUGCUCCUGGCACCGCCAUGCACACUCACGGUCAGAUGUGUGACAAUGGGGGACAAUCACUUACCCUCUCUUGAAAAACAGGAGUCGGACUUCAGAGCGGUUAUAGCUUCUUCCAGUGCCAAAGCGGAGGCUUCCUGGACGCAGCCCGGGACGGAGCGGCCUGGCAGAUGGGGACGUGGCGGGCGUUAUGGGCUGAAUUGUGUCCCCCUCCCCAGAAAUUCACAUGUUGAGGUCCUAACCCCAGUGUCAGAAUGUGGCUGUAUCUGGAGACAGGGUCUUUAACGAGGUAAUUGAGUUAAAAUGAGUUCAUUUAACCCAAUGUGACUGGUGUCCUUACGAGAAGAGGGGAUCAGGACACAGACACACACAGAAGGAAAAGCACGUGAAGAUAUGGGGACAAGGUGGCCACCGACAGGCCAAGGAGAGAGGCCGCAGGAGAAACCGGCCCUGCGGACACCUUGAUCUUGGACUUUGAGCCUCUAGAAUUGUGAGAAAAUAAAUUUUGUUGUUUGAGCCA
rnacentral:lncRNA from 1 species